GGCCAGUUAGCUGAGUCGGUUAGAGCGUGGUGCUGAUAAUACCAAGGUCGCAGGUUUGACCCCUGCUCAGUCCC
rnacentral:tRNA from 1 species